CAAUAGCGUAUAUUAAAGUUGUUGCGGUUAAAAAGCUCGUAGUUGGAUUUCUGCCGAGGACGACCGGUCCGCCCUCUGGGUGAGUAUCUGGCUCGGCCUGGGCAUCUUCUUGGAGAACGUAGCUGCACUUGACUGUGUGGUGCGGUAUCCAGGACUUUUACUUUGAGGAAAUUAGAGUGUUUCAAGCAGGCUUACGCCUUGAAUACAUUAGCAUGGAAUAAUAAGAUAGGACCUCGGUUCUAUUUUGUUGGUUUCUAGAGCUGAGGUAAUGAUUAAUAGGGAUAGUUGGGGGCAUUCGUAUUUAACUGUCAGAGGUGAAAUUCCUGGAUUUGUUAAAGACGGACUACUGCGAAAGCAUUUGCCAAGGAUGUUUNCAUUGA
rnacentral:rRNA from 1 species